rnacentral:rRNA from 1 species
GACGAACGCUGGCGGCGUGCCUAAUACAUGCAAGUCGAACGAGAGCGCCCGGUGCUUGCACUGGUCAAUCUAGUGGCGAACGGGUGAGUAACACGUGGGUAACCUGCCCAUCAGAGGGGGAUAACAUCCGGAAACGGAUGCUAAAACCGCAUAGGUCUUCGAGCCGCAUGGCUUGAAGAGGAAAAGAGGCGCAAGCUUCUGCUGAUGGAUGGACCCGCGGUGCAUUAGCUAGUUGGUGAGGUAACGGCUCACCAAGGCCGUGAUGCAUAGCCGACCUGAGAGGGUGAUCGGCCACAUUGGGACUGAGACACGGCCCAAACUCCUACGGGAGGCAGCAGUAGGGAAUCUUCCGCAAUGGACGCAAGUCUGACGGGGCAACGCCGCGUGAGUGAAGAAGGUUUUCGGAUCGUAAAACUCUGUUGUUAGAGAAGAACAAGUGCUAGAGUAACUGUUAGCGCCUUGACGGUAUCUAACCAGAAAGCCACGGCUAACUACGUG